CAGUAGCCGCGGGAAUACGUAGGGUGCAAGCGUUAAUCGGAAUUACUGGGCGUAAAGCAUGCGCAGGCGGUUCGGAAAGAAAGAUGUGAAAUCCCAGGGCUCAACCUUGGAACUGCAUUUUUAACUACCGGACUAGAGUACGUCAGAGGGAGGUGGAAUUCCACGUGUAGCAGUGAAAUGCGUAGAUAUGUGGAGGAACACCGAUGGCGAAGGCAGCCUCCUGGGAUAAUACUGACGCUCAUGCACGAAAGCGUGGGGAGCAAACAGGAUUAGAUACCCCCGUAGUCCCUGUCUCUUAUAC
rnacentral:rRNA from 1 species